rnacentral:rRNA from 1 species
UGGGGAAUUUUGGACAAUGGGCGCAAGCCUGAUCCAGCAAUGCCGCGUGCAGGAUGAAGGCCUUCGGGUUGUAAAGCACUUUUGUCCGGAAAGAAAAGCUCUCGGUUAAUAGUCGAAGGUCCUGACGGUACCGGAAGAAUAAGCACCGGCUAACUUCGUGCCAGCAGCCGCGGUAAUACGUAGGGUGCGAGCGUUAAUCGGAAUUACUGGGCGUAAAGCGUGCGCAGGCGGUUAUAUAAGACAGAUGUGAAAUCCCCGGGCUCAACCUGGGACCUGCAUUUGUGACUGUAUAGCUAGAGUACGGCAGAGGGGGAUGGAAUUCCGCGUGUAGCAGUGAAAUGCGUAGAUAUGCGGAGGAACACCGAUGGCGAAGGCAAUCCCCUGGGCCUGCACUGACGCUCAUGCACGAAAGCGUGGGGAGCAAACA